UGUGAGGAUAAGGAGGAGUCAGUACAUAGAGGAGCUGCCUAUGAGACACAUGAGGGAGCAGGCAAAGUGACCAAUUUCUUAGCAUGCCACUCCAGCUUGUGAUUCUUUUUAUCCACUGAGUUCAAUGAAAGUCCAACACCUCAAUUAAAGGUCUCAGUUUCAUGGCACAUCUGAGCAUCUCAGCUGAAGGAGCAAUUCACCUUUUGGUAUAAGAAGCAGUCUGCCCAAGCCCUACAGCACCACAAAACUCCUUACCUGGGAUCACAUGCAACUGCAGCAAUACUGCAGCUAUGCCUGAGAGGUGAAAUGCCUCAGCCCAUCUGGAAAGAAUCUCUGACUCGUCUGAGCAUGGGACUGGCAGCAAGGAUGAUCCCAAUUUCUUUUUGGGACAAACCAGUUCACUUUUCUGGCUCACUUUUCUAUGUGAUAAGGAACUACAAAAGCAUGUAUGCUUGACACUCAUUUUUAGAUAGAAUUCUAUCAUGAAAACCUCUGCUUGCCGAUACAAAUCUCUGCCUUUACUGCUACAUUAUUUCUUUUAAGAUGUCUUACAACAAGAAAUAACCCUGAAAGCAUUUAUUUCUGUCCUUCAUCGAACUCAAACACCUCUCCAGAUAAGGAAUACAUCUGAGAAUUGAUUUCAUGUUAAGACUUGAUUGACAUUCAGGACAAUGCAAUAAUUCACUGAAUGGCCUUUAGAGGGAAGCAGAUCCAAAGAAUCCAUGGCAAGAUCAAAAGCAAGCUUUUUGCAAAAACAGGCUGCCAGAUCUUGUUAAGCAAAACCUGAAGCUGAGACACUUGGCUCAUUCUCUGUCUCUGUGUAGUAUUGGGUGAGAUUUGAACACCCCUCACAUUAUUCCAGUCUGAAACCUCUCAUACACCCGGGCUAUUUUGUCUUAAUCUACUCAUGUCAGGAGACCUUGCUGCUUUGUUUCCUGGGGAUUCUUCCUUUAGCCUUCAAAAGCUACCUUGAAUGUAGGAGAUGGGCAUGGAGAACCACAGGAGCAUCUGGGACACCAUGCAAGGGGUACUUAGCAAGUCUGGAAAGAGAUACCUUCCUAUCUGAUCUUAUAAGCUAUGAGUUGAAGUAAAUAUGUGACCUGAUGCUUCCUGACUUCUGUCUGCUCUCUUGUGAGGCAUCAGACAAAAAUGUUGUCUGAGAAAUGCCUACAUGCAGGUACAGAGCCAAAGUCUCAGAGGGUGAUUUCUAAACACUACAUAUUUGAAGGGCUGUGGUAUGUGUGACCUUGUAAUUCCACCUGUUUGAAGCUUUUUUUUUUUUUUUUUUAACACAACAACGUGUUUUAAAGGCAGAAAAAGUAUUUUCAAGAUCUUUGCAGAUCAGAAAUGACAGCAAAUUCUCAAUGGGUAUAUCACAGAAGCUUGGAUAAAUGGCCAACUCAUCUCAUUACUAGUCAGAUCAUUAGGACCAGACUUGUGUCUACAUCAAAACAUGCUUUCCAAAAGAGAGAAGAACAGUGUGAGAUGAAUGAACUAUACCAAAGGGGAAAAUCCAUAUUGGUUUAUGGUAUAGAGGUCUUGAAAUAUGCAAUUAAGAGCACAUUAUUGAUGAGGACGACUAUCUUUAUUACUUCCUCAGUUGUAUCAACUGACAACCUCCUGAAAUAUUUUAGAAUGGACAGCAUGAGGAAUCUCCUCCACUGAGACUUUUUGCCUUCGUGGUGGUUACUGAGAAUCUGUAUGAUCAAGACAAUUUUUAUACAGUUACAAAAAUAUUCCCUACACAAAUUCUUCUCAACCUUGGAUUUGUUGUUUGACUAGAAUAACGUGUAAAGACAUCUUUCUCCUAGAAAAUGUCUGUUGCCUAAUGUCCUCUCUUCAAGAAACUCCCAGUAAAGAAUUUCUUCUUUAGAUCUGUCUAAACCUGCCCUCCAUCAGCUUAAAGCCAUUCCUCUUCUUACUAUCACUGCAUGCUCUUGUGAAAAGUCCCUUUCCAGCUUUCCUGUAGGCCUCCUUGAGGUACUGGAAAGCUCCGCUAAGGCCUCCCUGGAGCCUUCUCUUCUCCAGGCUGAACAACCCCAGCAGUUUCAUCCAGUCUUCAUAGAAGUGUUUCAGCCUUCUGACCGACUUCGUGUCCCUGCUCUGGACUCAUUCCAGUAGGUCCACAAUUCCCAUGGGCACUGGAGAGAAGUGGCUUCACCAGGCCCCCAUCUUCUGCUGUCAGAUGUGGUUUCCUACUCUGUGGUC